rnacentral:rRNA from 1 species
CCUACGGGCGGCUGCAGUGGGGAAUAUUGCACAAUGGGCGCAAGCCUGAUGCAGCCAUGCCGCGUGUGUGAAGAAGGCCUUCGGGUUGUAAAGCACUUUCAGCGGGGAGGAAGGCGGUGAGGUUAAUAACCUCAUCGAUUGACGUUACCCGCAGAAGAAGCACCGGCUAACUCCGUGCCAGCAGCCGCGGUAAUACGGAGGGUGCAGGCGUUAAUCGGAAUUACUGGGCGUAAAGCGCACGCAGGCGGUCUGUCAAGUCGGAUGUGAAAUCCCCGGGCUCAACCUGGGAACUGCAUUCGAAACUGGCAGGCUAGAGUCUUGUAGAGGGGGGUAGAAUUCCAGGUGUAGCGGUGAAAUGCGUAGAGAUCUGGAGGAAUACCGGUGGCGAAGGCGGCCCCCUGGACAAAGACUGACGCUCAGGUGCGAAAGCGUGGGGAGCAAACAGGAUUAGAUACCCCUGUAGUC